rnacentral:rRNA from 1 species
ACAGCAGCCGCCGCGGUAAUACAGAGGGUGCGAGCGUUAAUCGGAUUUACUGGGCGUAAAGCGUGCGUAGGCGGCUAAUUGAGUCGGAUGUGAAAUCCCCGAGCUUAACUUGGGAAUUGCAUUCGAUACUGGUUAGCUAGAGUGUGGGAGAGGAUGGUAGAAUUCCAGGUGUAGCGGUGAAAUGCGUAGAGAUCUGGAGGAAUACCGAUGGCGAAGGCAGCCAUCUGGCCUAACACUGACGCUGAGGUACGAAAGCAUGGGGAGCAAACAGGAUUAGAUACCCGAGUAGUCCCUGUCUCUUAUAA